rnacentral:tRNA from 1 species
CUAAACAGGCGGGCCUCGAUCCCGCAAAAACUAG